rnacentral:rRNA from 1 species
AACGAACGCUGGCGGCAGGCUUAACAAAUGAAAGUCGACCGGGACUUCGGCUGUUGGGGGGGGCGGGUGAGUUACGAGGGGGUAAGUGGCCCUUUCUAAGGCAUAGCCCUGGGCAACUGGGAGUAAUACAGAAUACGCCUUAUUGGGGAAAGGAUUAUCGGAUAAGGCUUUGGCCGCGGUGGAUUGGGUCGUUGGUGGGGGAAUGGCCUACCAAGCCGACGAUCCAUUGCUGGUUUGAGAGGAUGAUCGGCCACACUGGGACUGAGACACGGCCCAGACUCGUACGGGAGGCAGCAGAGGGGAAUCUUAGGCAAUGGGGGCAACCCUGAUCUCGCCAUGCCGCGUGAGUGAAGAAGGCCUUAGGGUUAUAAAUCUCUUUCAGCUGGGAAGAUAAUGACGGUACCAGCAGAAGAAGCCCCGGCUAACUCCGUG